rnacentral:rRNA from 1 species
UCUCCUGGAAACGGGUGGUAAUGCCGGAUGUUCCACAUGAGCGCAUGCGAGUGUGGGAAAGGCUUUUUGCGGCAUGGGAUGGGGUCGCGUCCUAUCAGCUUGUUGGUGGGGUAACGGCCUACCAAGGCGUUGACGGGUAGCCGGCCUGAGAGGGCGACCGGCCACAUUGGGACUGAGAUACGGCCCAGACUCCUACGGGAGGCAGCAGUGGGGAAUAUUGCACAAUGGGCGCAAGCCUGAUGCAGCGACGCCGCGUGCGGGAUGGAGGCCUUCGGGUUGUAAACCGCUUUUGUUCAAGGGCAAGGCACGGUUUCGGCCGUGUUGAGUGGAUUGUUCGAAUAAGCACCGGCUAACUACGUGCCAGCAGCCGCGGUAAUACGUAGGGUGCAAGCGUUAUCCGGAUUUAUUGGGCGUAAAGGGCUCGUAGGCGGUUCGUCGCGUCCGGUGUGAAAGUCCAUCGCUUAACGGUGGAUCCGCGCCGGGUACGGGCGGGCUUGAGUGCGGUAGGGGAGACUGGAAUUCCCGGCGUAACGGUGGAAUGUGUAGAUAUCGGGAAGAACACCA